UCGCCGCCCAUUCCAUCCGCCGCCCUUAGCUCCCUCCACGGCGGACCUAGGCCCCCUAUGUGGCGCCUGACCGGAAAGGAGCAAGCCUCCUCAGUGCUCGAUCUCGGCCCCCUCUGCGGCAAGGGACCAGGAGCUGGUCCGGUCCGCGCUCCGGCUGCCUCCAGCUAGUUUGUGCCCUGUGCUCCAGACGCCUCCGGCCUGUCAGCUGACGCCUCACACUUCGCCGCCCACUGCCCCUCCACCCCGGUCGUCUACGCCCAUCUACCGCCCUUAGCCCCAUUCAUCGCUACCCACUCCCUCCCAACUCCCUCCGAGGCUGAUCUGUGUCCCCGCCAACAAACUUGUGUUGCAUCCCGUCGUCGACCCUGCUCGCCGUCAUCGUAUUUUUCAUGGAUUCACACAUGUCACCGGCAAGUGGCUCCUCCGAUAGAGGACAAGGAUGGCCUAGGUAUGGUCCGGUGCCGCUAAUUCGCUGCCCCAAGUGCGAAAGGCCAGAGUCGCUCAUGAGACUUAGAUCGAAAAGGUCAAGAUGAUUGAACGGGCUAGGUUAAUGGGUGACUCGGGGGAGAUGAUGGCGUCUAAUAUGUGUAACGAACGAACGGCGGCAAAUAGGGCAGAUAUGACUACAAACUGGGACACAUUUGCUGCCGAACUGAAGAAGAUGAAUUUGCUACCAAACUGAAGAAGAUGAAUGACAACUUGAGCGAGUUGAAGAAGAUGUUUGGAGCCUUUUAUGCUUCUAUGAUUUUUACCGUCUUGCUUUUCUUCGUGAUGAACUAUAAUUGUAAGCACCAAAUGUGAGGGUACCCCUAAAUGUGAUGGUGGAUCUGUGAUGAACAUUGGUGAUGAUGGUCUAUGAUGAAACUAUGAAAAUUUG